rnacentral:tRNA from 1 species
GGAGCUAUAGCCAAGUGGUAAGGCAUGGGUCUGCAACACCUUCACCGUCGGUUCAAAUCCGUCUAGCUCCUCCA